rnacentral:tRNA from 2 species
GGAGGGGUGCCGGAGCGGCCGAACGGGGCGGUCUCGAAAACCGUUAGGGGUGCAAGCCCCUCGAGGGUUCAAAUCCCUCCCCCUCCG